UGUCCUUCCUUCCCAAAACAGAAUCAGUAGCGGCGGCUAGGGCGCCCCGCAGCCCUGCGCGCCUCCAAGCGAUCGCAGUGGCUGUGGACCCCUAGUUACGCCACUGAGUACACUACUGUCCACUACAUUACACUACACUACAGUACACUAUGCUACACUACAGUACACUACAUUACACUACAGUACACUACAGUACACUACAUUACACUACAGUACACUAUACUAUACUACAUUACAGUACACUACAUUACACCCUAAGGGUAGGGGGGGGGAUGUAAAGUGCUCUACCUGCCGCAAUGUGUAAAAGGGGGUCGUAGCUGCCGUAAUGUAAAAAAAAGGGAUCUCUACCUGCCGUAAUGUGUAAAAGGGGGCCGUAGCUGCCAUAAUGUAAAAAAAAUGAUCUCUACCUGCCGUAAUGUGUAAAAGGGGGACUCUACCUGCUGUAAUGUGUAAUAGGGGGCUGUACCUGCCGUACUGUGUAAAAGGGGUGUUCUACCUGCCGUAAUGUGUAAAAGGGAGCUCUGCCUGGCGUAAUUUGUGUAAGUGGCGCUUCUGUGCAGCGUAAUUUGACUAAUGGAAGCCCUGGACAAUAAAAUUACAUUCAUGUUCUCCUCCCACUACCUUCCCAGUCCCAAACACUAAUUUUUUUUUUUUCUAUAAAAAUGUACAAUAUAUCACAAGUAUGAUGAGCAGGCAGGUAGCAGGCAUUGGCGGCAGUGGCGGCAUCGGACUGAGAUGCAAAUUAGUGGCGGAGGGCUGGGUCAGUUGAUGGUGGGCGAGUUUGUAAACCAUUGGCGGUGGCAGCAGGUAUUGGCUCAGGGCAGUAGCGGGCAUUGGCUCGGCGGCGGUAGGGGUCAUCGGCAGGAUUCGGUGGACAUUAUGGCUGUAGUCCCUCACCAGCCACUGACCUCACUGCCCACGACUCCAGUCUUUACACUGAGAGAGUGCCAGCAACCAUCCAAGCACGGCAUUUAAAAAAAAAAAACUUUAGCAUCUCCUCAGGAGGUUUAAUUUUUCUCGAGUAGCUCACACCCCAAUUAAGGUUGGAGACCAUUGUUCUACACCCUGCUUCUCACAUAAGGGUUUUACAUACCCUUUACCUCCCGGGGUUCUAUCUCUGGCAGCGGUGUUGUACCCCAGACUGUUAGGGUGUAAUCGUGCCAGAUAUGGUAUGUUUUAUUGUUGCAACCAAAUGAUUUUAUUUGAGUGUACGCUGAACGAAGGUGCUUUGACUUUCCAAAAAGAGCUGCUUCAGACUGACUGCCAGGGGUGCUAAGAGAGAGGGAUCUUGAACGUAACCCAUAUUGAGAUAUUGGGCCAAAUGUAAUAGGGUGCAAGUAAAUUUGUCCCGCAACUCGCAAAUGUAAUAGCCUGCGAAUUAGAGCUUUCGAGGCUAUUACAAAUGUGAAUCCAUGCAAGUUUCCCUGUGGGUAAACUCGCAUCUUGUAAUGGUAGUUUCAUUACAAGGUGCAAGUUGACAGAAACCUGCACGGAUCACACUGUUUCUAUGUGUAUAAACUAAGAAAGGGUAAAAAAAAACAGGAAAAAGCAUAACCAGCACCAGACGUUAUGGUGCCAUUCCUGGUUGUGAAAAUAUGGGGGGGUUUUACCUCAUAUUUUACACACCCAACAACGGGCACUUGAGGAGGUCCUGAUACAGGAAAUGUGUGUGGGGGGAAUGUGUAGGGGUAUCCUGUAUUUCUUUCUAGCAUGGGCAUAAUGCCACAUCUGGGGGACAUUCUUAUAUUGGUACCCUUGGCCGAAGAAUUCAUCACCACCCACUAGUCUGGCCAGGCCGGGGAUUCCUGGAGAAGUGGAGACCCCACAAUAAUGGGGUCCCCCCCUCCAAGGCACCCAAGACAUGGGCUGAAGCUCAGGGCUAUCCCUGGCACCCCUGUGCGGUAGGUUCUAAGUGGAUAGUUCAUUUGUGUUAAAAAUAGAAUAAUAUUGUCUUUUACAGGGGGAUUACUGGUCCCAGAAAGCUUCCUUCGCUUGCUGACAUUUUGAGAACCACAAAUGUCAGCAUACGCAGCAUUAAAGGGCCCACUGGCACCUGUAGUCCUCCUGUAAAAUAAAUAUAUAAACAAAGACAAGACACACACCAUAUAUAGUACAAAUUGAAUGCAUACACUCACACAUACUCACCCUGUCACUGGUACCACUUACGUCCACUUGUUCAGUAGAAUCCCCAAUCGCUGUAAUAACAAACCCAUACUCGCCUAUCCCUUGCGUCAUCUCCUCUUCGGUCCAUGUAGGCAUUGUCAAAGUCAGAAAAAUAUCACGCUGCACGUUGCCAUAUAUGCACCUCAUGCGCGUGCCUGCUGCACGUGCACAUUCUCUCCCGUGCGUGCGGAUACACGCAGCCGCGUGAUGGCGCCUCGGCCAUGCGCUCGAGCGCGUGGUAUGUGCAUUUACGGUAGACUUUGUGUGCGUCUAGCGGGCGACUCAAUCGUUUAAUAAUAGAACCAAAUAUCUCGUUUUAUAGAUAAUGUUCCCCUUAAUGAUAACUGUAAGUUUGGUUAAUGUGACUUGUUCACGGACUUGGGAAUCCCUCUUUACAUGGUACAAAGGGUCUGAUUAAGGUUGAACAGCUGUGUCUGGUACCUAACUGAAGAGUAUUUUAAUAGCAAUAAUCCGGUGUUGGUUAGGUAAAGAUUAAACGCUCCUGCGUGUAGUUAUGGCCAUUAGUAGUUUCUGGACAUAUUCUAUAUUUGCAGUUCAUUAUCCAUGCGGCGGGAAUCCGGAGAUUCCCACCCACCUGAGCUGUUUAAAAUAGUCACAGCCCACCUGUUCAAACUAACCUAUGACCUUUUGAUAUGAUGCAAGGAGACAUUCCUGUGUCCAAUGAACAAUGAGAUUGUAGGUCCCUUUGUAGUAUACUGUACCCAGUGUAUAUAAGAUCAGCCAGCCUGAACAGCUCUCCCACUCUCUCCACAAAUGGUUUUCAUAUUGACAAACUCGGGGCUGGUACCAGGCUGCGCUGCGAUCGUUCCCAGUGUGUGUGUAAGUAAUUCUCUGUAAUCAUCUCGCUCUUUGUUUGUAUUGGCCACAUUCUCUCUCUCUCUCUAUUUAGUUUAAGAUUGUAACGUUAUUGUAUAUUUAUGUCUAGAUAUUCUGUUAGAAUUAUAUGUUAGUAUGUAGUGUAUGACUUGUAACUGUUUUACCCCUUUUCGAUAUAACUAAAAGCUUGUUAGUAAAGGUGUUGGAUCCUUAGCACGGUAUUGUGUGUUCAUUACAUUGCAGAGAGUAAUAGGAGCGUCUCGAUCGCUCAAACAGCUUUGGUGUUAACAAGGUUAAGCAGCGUUAUAUCGCUACAGUGUUUCAGUACAAGGUUUACAGUAUAAGAAUAUCCUUUCUGUGUGUUACAUUCAAGGUUUACUGAUUGUCAUCUUGUGAGCGUCAGCGCCGCUCGUGAUCUCCUCGUGGUCUCGAGCGUCCGCUACGCUGAUAGCGUAGCAUUACGGUUGUCGCUCGCCUAUAGCGUGCUCGACACCACGCAUUAAGCUGUGAGCGAGCGUGCCGCAUGUGCGUCUCGAUCACGACCUAGCGUAUGCUACGCUAAAUACAUACCCUUACGGUACCCCAUACGCCAAUUGCGUACUGUGUCUCUUACCCAUUAUUGUGAAGGUUAUAAGGUAAUCAUAAUCAGCAUUAUCAAUUGAGGGCUCGUCCGUCCUCCACAUAUCCGCACUAGCGAAAACAAACGUUAUCCGUCAGCAAGGGCGGGAAGGCAGUAUCCCUUCGUAUCGGGAUACAGUAGUGCUGACUAGAUAAGCGUCUGUUUCGCUAGAUUGAAGGAGUGCUGGUGGGAUCCGGAACCGGAGGUAAGAACAAUACGCUAUUGUUUUUUUAAAAACUGUUUAUUUCUGUUUUGCGUACACACGCACGCACACACACAACUAUAUCUCUUUUCAUUUGUGUAUUUUCACAUAUCACCUUCCUGUUUGCCAUUUCACAAUUGAUAACGUGCUGAGAAAGAUUUGUUGCUAUUGGUAGUUAAAAGUUAAAAUUAAUACUUAAAGGAGUAAUUAUAAAAACACGCACACAGCCUGGCCUAGUUAAAGGUUGAUACAGUGGAAUCUGUGUGGUGUUCGGUAAAUGAUUAUAGCUAAAUAUCAUUUGCAUUGAUAAACGUGUUAUUUGUGUUACUGCGGACGUGUCUGGCCUGUGUACACGUGUCUCUAACAAGGGGCAGAACGAGUGUACGCGACGCAAGGGUCGACGCACGGAGCGUAUAUUACGCAACGGAGCGUACGGAUACGCCCACCGAAACUCAAAUCGCACAAUAGCAUUGUUUUAGUGGGGGCGGUAUAGUAUAGCCACGCGAUAAUAGCACAAAUUGAUUUCAGUUUAAAAAAAAAUUUAGUUUAAAUACCUUACUUUACUGUAAUGCCUCUGGGGAGAGCUAUCAGAUUACGGGAAAUGAUUUUUCUGAUCAGAAAACUAUAGAAUGAUAGUGGGUUGAAAACGGUAUGAGUGUAUUGAACUCCUCUUGGUGAAGUCUUGGUGAAGUCUUGGUGAAGUCUUGGUGAAAUCUUGGUGAAGUCUUGGUGAAAUCUUGGUGAAAUCUUGGUGAUAGGGCCUGCAAAAAAGGUCCACAAUGGAAGCCAAGUGCACAGACGUUUAGCAGUCAGGGUUCAGACUGAAGAGGCUUGCAGACCCCGAGGGUCUGCUCGGUUAGUAAUGUGGGGGAAGUAUCGUCCCCACACUGAGACCUUUUGUGACGAAUGGACACGAAUGACUGUGGGGGAUAAAGCACCAUUUCCUGGGAUAGGUAGUUUUGACUCAGAGGUAUUGCAUAAUUUAAGGCGAAGGAUCUGUCUCAUAAAAUCCGGGAAGCAACGAAUUAGACAUUAUGAUUGUUUACAGUUAUGGCAACAGGAAGGUGAAAUACAAGGAGGAUUAGCUUAUACAGCUGACUCUCACUGUGGUAACAAAAACAUGGCAGCGAGAGAGAAGGUGGUUACAGAGAAUGGCACACUGGUGAAUGAUAAACAUGCACUUAGCAACUGUAUUAUAGACGAUAAGAAUAAUUGUAAUAAAUGUAACAAUGAUAAUUGUAAUACUGUUAAAUGUACAACUAUUAACCCAUGCAAGUUGCACCCCAUGUUAAACUUCCCUCAGGAUCACCAGCAAGAAAGUGAGCCCAGCACGAUGUCGGCACCUUUUCCAGCAGCCAUCACACAAGACAUCCAGGUGGACGCGACCAAUUCGGUAAAGGCAGUAAUCAAACCCCCUAACGGAGGGUCAGGUGAGGUCGUGUCCACAGGUACGUAUGGUGUUAUAUAUCACGCACAAACAAAUGUACCUCAUAUUGUAGAACCAACUCAGAAUGACGUUAUUGGACUUAAUCCUGUCAGGGUAAUUGCAGUGCCAAAUGGGAAAACUGACACUUCAGGAGUCACUCCUGUCAGAAACAUCGCCAUGCACUGCCCCUUUUCCCGAACGGAAUUAAGAUCAAUAGUGUCUGAAUUCCCUGAUCCUAGGAAAGAUCUAGUUGCAAGCCAGAAGUACAUUAGAGAGCUAGGAAAUACUAUGGAGCCCAAUAACAAAGAUUGGCGGGUAUUGCUGAGGGCAUGUUUACCCCCCAAUGUCGACUCAGUGAAAUUUAUUGCUGACUGUAAACUAGAUGAAGAGGUACCCCUUACGGAUGUGUACAACCAAGAUAAUGUGAAAAUAAUAAAUCUGCAGUUGGGAGUGUACUUUCCUGUUGUUGUCAAAUGGAACAAAAUUUUCUCCAUCAAACAAAAAGAGGGAGAAACAGCUGCUGAUUAUUUCCAUCGGGCAUUGCAGGACAUGGCUAGGUAUAUGUAACCCCUCCCCUAAUGCUCUAAUAUGGAAUUCUUACUUAUCCCGUAAGGGAUGGUUAGUUAAUGUCUGUGCCUCCACCCAAGCUUAAUAUUUGGGCUUGCCUGGGUACGCCUCUCUCUAGUAAUAAUUGUUAACUGUAAAGCAGUCUAUCUCAUAAAUGUAUAUAUGAGUGCACCUUUUCUCUUAAUGUUAUACCUGUUCUUCUGAUUGCAGUUCCAGGAUCUCUGGAUGGAUUUUCAAGAUUCACAUUAGCAUAUGGUAAUAGAUGUUGCCUAUGAUAUGUCAGUAUCCUGUUUUCUCCUGACUCAGGCUUGAUCUUAUAUACAGGCACUUCUAUCCAUUCUUCUUCAACAUCACUAUUUUCUUGGUUGGGAAUCCUGGACAGUGAAUCGGCAUCAAUGUUA